GACGAACGCUGGCGGCGUGCUUAACACAUGCAAGUCGAGCGAACCUUCGGGUUAGCGGCGAACGGGUGAGUAACACGUGGGCAACCUGCCCCGAGCUCUGGGAUAACCCCGGGAAACCGGGGCUAAUACCGGAUAUGACACCGACAGACAUCUGACGGUGUGGAAAGUUUUUCGGCUCGGGAUGGGCCCGCGGCCUAUCAGCUUGUUGGUGAGGUAACGGCCCACCAAGGCGACGACGGGUAGCCGGCCUGAGAGGGGCGACCGGCCACACUGGGACUGAGACACGGCCCAGACUCCUACGGGAGGCAGCAGUGGGGAAUAUUGCGCAAUGGGCGAAAGCCUGACGCAGCGACGCCGCGUGAGGGAUGAAGGCCUUCGG
rnacentral:rRNA from 1 species